rnacentral:lncRNA from 1 species
ACUCGAUGAGGGGGAGACCGGUCCGGGGACUCGAUGACGGGAAGGACCAGAAGACCAUGUAGCACCAAAAAGAUAGCUGCAAAGCGGAAUAAAGUUGGGGAAAACAAUCUGCUGGCCGGAAGAGAGUAAGAUGCAGGAGGAUGAUUGCUGGUUCUCCGAAGCACGAGUCAGGGAGGCCAUGAGAUGGAAGAGCCACCCCACAAUGGGAAGAACCUGGAGACAAGGUUCUCCUUGUCUAUGCCCAAGAGAAGCCACCCUUCAGGAGAGAGUUUCUGAGUUUCAUGAACUUGGGGAACAUUCUAAACCUAUUCAAAAUAUGCUUACUCACAGAGAGGUCUCACAAGUAGGCACGUCGUCCAUAAAUGAGACUCGCAUGUUGAAUAUUUACACAGAAUUCAGUUUUUGUUUAGAUGACUAUCAG